rfam:Schistosoma mattheei strain Denwood, Zambia genome assembly, scaffold: SMTD_scaffold0011233
ACCUAGCUGACGAGUCCCAAACAGGACGAAAAACGCGUCUUAGAU